rnacentral:rRNA from 1 species
ACUCCUACGGGAGGCAGCAGUGGGGAAUAUUGCACAAUGGGGGAAACCCUGAUGCAGCCAUGCCGCGUGUGUGAAGAAGGCCUUCGGGUUGUAAAGCACUUUCAGUAGGGAGGAAGGUAGUGUAGUUAACACCUGCAUUAUUUGACGUUACCUACAGAAGAAGCACCGGCUAACUCCGUGCCAGCAGCCGCGGUAAUACGGAGGGUGCGAGCGUUAAUCGGAAUUACUGGGCGUAAAGCGCAUGCAGGCGGCCUGUUAAGUCAGAUGUGAAAGCCCGGGGUCUUAACCUCGGAAUUGCAUUUGAAACUGGCAGGCUAGAGUCUUGUAGAGGGGUUAGAAUUUCAGGUGUAGCGGUGAAAUGCGUAGAGAUCUGAAGGAAUACCAGUGCGAAGCGGCCCCUGGACAAAGACUGACGCUCAGAUGCGAAAGCGUGGGAGCAAACAGGAUUACGAUACCCCGUGGUAGACUGUCA